AGAUGUGUUCAUUUUAUUAUGCUUUUAAAACUUAGGUACAUGUUACAUAUAUUCAUUUUAAAUGCCUUGAUACAAAUAAAAAAGGAAAGCACAUAUAUACAAAUAAGAAUGCCACUAUCAUGGGAUAACUUUGAACCUGCUUAAAGUUUUCUCAAUUAACGUAUUCACAAGCUUCAGUACUGUAACUAUUAGCUGGCAAAUGUCUUACAACACACUAUAUACAUGUCAUGAUGCUAGGGUUAGAAAUCAUCGUCCUGUUAGAGUACUUAGACCAGAACAAUAGUAAUGCCUUUUUCAUGUUUUAAAAUAUUAUAUACCAGGGUGAUUCUCUUUCAACUUGUUAUAUAGUCUGUACUUGCAGUAUGCGCAGGCAGGCUACUAAGUUUCUCUCAGCCUCUGUCUCUAGAAUUUAAAGCAGUCACUGAGUGGCAGAAAUUUCUUCUAAAAUCUAUUAUAUAUAGACUGGGCACAGUGGUUCAUGCCUGUAAUCCCAGCAUUUAGGAGGCUGAGUCAGGAGGAUUGCUUGAACCCAGGAAUUGGAGACCAGCCUGGGCAACGAGACUCUGUCUCUAGAAAAAAACAAAAAACAAAAAGCAAACUAUCAUAUAGAAGUUGGAACAUUAUUAGCUGCUACACUAAGCAGCACUGAAUAGCCUUCCAAAUUUCUGCUCAGCUGGAAGAACACUUGAUCUCAAAAAUGCUUUGGUGCAGGAGAUACACAAUGUAUGUCAACUCUGACAGACACUGUUAGAGGUGCCCAUUAUCCAAUUCUCAUCUUCCUAACAGAAUCUCAAAAUGUUAAUUUGGCCCAUGACAACCCAGAUAGAAUAUUACGUCCCAUCCAGCUUCAUGGCUAGUGGGACCAAGCAACUGUUUGAAAUUGAAGUUUAUGUAUUGUGUGUAACUUCCAAGAAGUGUUCUUGGGGGUGGGGGAGGUAAUGCCCUCUACCAGCUGGCUCAGAUGCCGAUAGGAAGUUUCUAGCUAGAGCAGCUGUCUUCAAGUAAGAACUGAAAGCCACAUGUUGGCCAGGUGUGGUGGCUCACACCUGUAACACCAGCACUUUGGGAGGCCAAGUCCUAGCUCUUGAGCCAUAAAGAAGAAAUAGAGGUAUCUCUAUACUGGAUCCACCUCAACUUAGCAACGCAUCUCUGCAUCUCCACAAUGCCAUUCUCCUCAAAACAUCUGCUGUCUUUAACAUCUGGCAUAGGUGGUAGAAUGGGGAGAUACUAGGCUGCAGAAAUAAAAUCCAACGUUUGACAAAGCCAACAGAAUUUUGAGAUAAAGAAAUGGUGAGGUAGAGUUGAGAGAGUUCAAUUAUAUUGUUGAGCACAGACCAUUUGGCACAUUCUAAAAUUAGAUUCCCUAUCAACUUCUCCUUUGUGGUACCUUUACAAAAUGCUGACACCUUAGGAAUCCUCCAACACCUAUGUAAAGCUAACAGAAUAAAGUCAUUUGAAGAAAUUCAUCCUUGGCUCUUUAGCUAUUAUCUACCCCCAUAUUGAAGCAAAUAAAAAACAAUGCUAUCCAUUUGCUGAAUUUAUUUAAACAAGUCAAUUUAGAAAUACCAUAGAAUUAAACAAAACUUCUGACAUGUAAACAUACUGCCAUGUUCCUGAAACAGAUGUUAACACCUGAUAAAAGUUAAUAAUCUCUUGUUAGGAAAGCUGUCCAUUAAUAAGGCCAGUCUUCAGCAAAACUAAAACCAUUUUGUUCGUUUAGCUUUCCUAGUCUGACAACGCAAUACUGUUGAACCACAGUCAAAUAUAAUGACAACAUUGGAUGGAUAGAUCAGUACCAUUGGUUACAGCUGUUAAACAGGUUCGUUCUUGGCGCCACAUAAAAACAAGCCAAUCACAUCGAAUAAAUCAUGGCUUUUUUUUCUUUAUCACAAUUCACUAAGUGAUGUUAAUUAUGGUCCUUGUCAAACACGUUUGGUAAAGGCUAUUUACAGUGUACAUGGCUGAGCAUGCACUAUUUAUAGUUACAAAGAUACCUGCCAGUUUAUUACAAUAGAAUUACACAGUGCCUGAAAAUGGUGAAACAUCUCACACAUCAUUUAAAUCAAUAUAAUUUCAAGCAGGAAACGUUCCUUAUUUGACCACAAUUGCAAUAAUUACAUGAAAAUUCUUAUAAAAACAUGAAUCUCCUUCAAGAAAUUGAUGCAUAUUCUACGCACUACAGGUUAAGGCAGUAAAAAAAUGUAUUCCUGAUAACUGGAGGUGUUGACAAUGUCAAUUAAAGCUGUCUGACUCUAGUUUUUCAUUCUCCAUCAUAUACCAAAAGUUUGUGAAUGAUUUCAUUUUUAAAGUCAACAAAGUAUUAGUAACUAAGAAGAGUUGAAGCUGGAAAAAAGUAAUUGCUAGGGAAGGGAAAAAUGUAAAUUGGAUUUUGCCUGAAAGUUUUCAAAUCAUAAACAAUAGCAUUAUUUAUGAGUCUAAGCCUUAAAUGUAUAAAACAAAUACAUAUAGUUCACUUUUCUUAAUUUAAAAUAUACUGUACUUUGAACAAUUCAAGUAAUGUAAGACUAUCAAAAAUAACUUCAUAAGCCAUACACAAGUGUCAACUGCAUUUUCAGUAUUUUAAGAACUUUUUAAAAAUUGUAAACUAAACCAUGACAGUUUAGUUAAACAAAUGAUAAAUGACUUUUUAUUUGCACUUGUGAUUUCUUUAAUACAAAUUGCUACCAACAAAUAUGUAAAGAUAUGGCAGGUUAUGCAUUUGAUCAAAGCACUUUGAUUUAAGCAUAAAACAGAUUCAAAUGGUACAAGUUCUGUGCAUAAGAUCCAAGGAAUUGCUUACUAAUCUGUAGGCAACCCUCUUUCUAAUCAGAAUCCUUUAUUCCUCGGCUGCAGAUGAGAUAGGGCACAAUCUGUUGUAAACAGGGCACUGUUGUUAAACCAGGAUAAUAUUCUUAAAUUAAGAUCGUUCUUGUUCUAUUAAAAAGACUUUCC
rnacentral:lncRNA from 1 species